CAACCGGCUAGCGCGCAUGCGCUCCAGGUCAGCUGAGCCGUACCGUGUGGUCACUGCGCCAACGUGGUAUUUUUCACUCUUUGGAAAUUGAAGCAGCAGGAGGUCCGACAGUCAGUGUUGCCAGCUCCGCUUCUGAUCACCACCGCUGUCAGUUGCCCAACUGCCUCAAGUUGGAGUGUGUGAUACGAAGUCCAAUCGCACGCCCAGGGGAUCUGAGGAGAAAGCGCUCGCCAAGACAGAAGGAACGACCCAGAGAGCCACACAGCUAGGAGGAGCAGGCAGGCCUUGAACCUAGAGACCCAUGGACACACUGCGAUGACUACAGAAAUCACUUAGGCAAUCUCCGCAUAGGGAUUCCAGCAGCUCUGAUGUGCCACCUCCUGGCACUGCGGACAUGGCCCACAGGCCCAAUGCUUCUGCCCUGGACUACAGCUACGAGUACUACCUGGACUACUUGGACCUCCUUCCCGUGGAUGAGAAGAAGCUGAAAGCCAACAAACACGUGGUUGUCAUUGCCUUCUGGGUGAGCCUGGCUGCCCUCGUGGCGCUUCUCUUCCUCUUCCUGCUCUGCAUGUCCUGCUCAGGCUCCCCACAGACGAGGAACAAUGUCCAGCACCAACGAACGCGCCGCUGGAGCCCCGGCCUCAACUGUCCCCUCUGCCUCCGGAGGUACCUUCUGCGCACAGGGCAUGUCGGGGACCCGGCGGGCUCCACCAAGCUUGGUGGAGGAACCAGACAGCAGAGCACCCGGCCCUGAGCAGCAGCUGCAGCCAGGAGCCCCUCUGCCUCUCCCACCGCUGCCCACAGCCCGAGGCUGCUCUCCUCGGGAACUGGCCCUGGAUGGGGACCCCAGAGCAUCAGCUGACGUCAGGAACAAGCCCAGAGAGCGUUCCCCAGGAGACAGAACCUCUCUCCAUUGUAGAACUAACACCAGCAAACUAUGGCCAUUGCUGAGUGAACCGGUGAACGAGGACCCCCCUGGACACACGCGUGUGCUCUGAAAGCCUGUUUACAUGCAUCAGAAAGUGCAGCUAGGUCAAGGACUCUACCAGGACUCCCAAGAGUGCCUGCUGAAUUCCGUCCUCCACUGCCGCCCACCAUGACCAACAGGGGGCAGUGUGUGUGCCCUGCCAGGCCAGGCACCAGAGUCACACUUCAGCCUGCCCAAAGCCUUUCAAAAACAGAGCCCAAGGAGGUUGUCUUCCCUGGAGGGAGCAGUCAGGCCCAGCAGGAAGGACCUAAGCCCAAAGGGAGAAAAUCUGCCUCCGAAUGCUGUCACAGAACGUCUUUUAAGCUGGUACAAAGGGUCCCAUUCUAGAUGAGACCAUGUGACCUCCGAUCUGAGACACCGUCACCUCCACAUGGAUCUGGUCCUCUGGUGCCCAAAAGCCUGCCCCUGGCAGGGAGCCAGCCCCACACUACAAGGCCCUAAAGCCCACUCCAGCCUAGGUGGCCAAGAGAGGAUCCCCCAAGUAUCACGUGCCACACUUGGGCAGUGGGUUAGAAGGAAACACGUGGCUUCUCCAAUUGGAGGCUAAGUGUAGGAUUCUGACCUCAGAAUAUUCUCCAAGAACACUGACACGGGUAUUCUGGGGAGAGGGAAUGUAAAUGCUUUCUAGAUAAUGAGCCCGGUUUGUGGUAAGGGGACCAGCAGGUAAGCAUUACCCAUAUCUUGGUUAAGAAUCUUAAGUCAUUUAAAAAGAGUCUAAAGAACACUGGAGGCAUACAAAGUGUAAAUGUUUAAGCCAAAACCAAGCCAUUCUUGGUGCUGACCAUGGUAUUCAAGCAAAUAAACACUAUCUCCCAGGUGACAGAGAACGCCGCUGUGCUGGCACAUGACAGUGGCCAGGCAGACCCCCAAAAGCCAGGGUGUGCGAGAGGGACAUGGCUGUAAGCAGAGCUUUACUGACAGGCUGGAAUUUCAUCUGUG